AACGAACGCUGGCGGCAGGCCUAACACAUGCAAGUCGAACGAAGUCUUCGGACUUAGUGGCGGACGGGUGAGUAACACGUGGGAACGUGCCUUUAGGUUCGGAAUAACUCAGGGAAACUUGUGCUAAUACCGAAUGUGCCCUUCGGGGGAAAGAUUUAUCGCCUUUAGAGCGGCCCGCGUCUGAUUAGCUAGUUGGUGGGGUAAUGGCCCACCAAGGCUACGAUCAGUAGCUGGUCUGAGAGGAUGACCAGCCACAUUGGGACUGAGACACGGCCCAAACUCCUACGGGAGGCAGCAGUGGGGAAUCUUGCGCAAUGGGCGAAAGCCUGACGCAGCCAUGCCGCGUGGAUGAUGAAGGUCUUAGGAUUGUAAAAUCCUUUCACCGGUGAAGAUAAUGACUGUAGCCGGAGAAGAAGCCCCGGCUAACUUCGUGCCAGCAGCCGCCGUAAAAC
rnacentral:rRNA from 1 species